UUAUCGGAGAGUUUGAUCCUGGCUCAGGACGAACGCUGGCGGCGUGCCUAAUACAUGCAAGUCGAGCGGACAGAUGGGAGCUUGCUCCCUGAUGUUAGCGGCGGACGGGUGAGUAACACGUGGGUAACCUGCCUGUAAGACUGGGAUAACUCCGGGAAACCGGGGCUAAUACCGGAUGGUUGUUUGAACCGCAUGGUUCAAACAUAAAAGGUGGCUUCGGCUACCACUUACAGAUGGACCCGCGGCGCAUUAGCUAGUUGGUGAGGUAACGGCUCACCAAGGCGACGAUGCGUAGCCGACCUGAGAGGGUGAUCGAGCACACUGGGACUGAGACACUACCAGACUCCUACGGGAGGCAGCAGUAGGGAAUCUUCCGCAAUGGACGAAAGUCUGACGGAGCAACGCCGCGUGAGUGAUGAAGGUUUUCGGAUCGUAAAGCUCUGUUGUUAGGGAAGAACAAGUACCGUUCGAAUAGGGCGGUACCUUGACGGUACCUAACCAGAAAGCCACGGCUAACUACGUGCCAGCAGCCGCGGUAAUACGUAGGUGGCAAGCGUUGUCCGGAAUUAUUGGGCGUAAAGGGCUCGCAGGCGGUUUCUUAAGUCUGAUGUGAAAGCCCCCGGCUCAACCGGGGAGGGUCAUUGGAAACUGGGGAACUUGAGUGCAGAAGAGGAGAGUGGAAUUCCACGUGUAGCGGUGAAAUGCGUAGAGAUGUGGAGGAACACCAGUGGCGAAGGCGACUCUCUGGUCUGUAACUGACGCUGAGGAGCGAAAGCGUGGGGAGCGAACAGGAUUAGAUACCCUGGUAGUCCACGCCGUAAACGAUGAGUGCUAAGUGUUAGGGGGUUUCCGCCCCUUAGUGCUGCAGCUAACGCAUUAAGCACUCCGCCUGGGGAGUACGGUCGCAAGACUGAAACUCAAAGGAAUUGACGGGGGACCGCACAAGCGGUGGAGCAUGUGGUUUAAUUCGAAGCAACGCGAAGAACCUUACCAGGUCUUGACAUCCUCUGACAAUCCUAGAGAUAGGACGUCCCCUUCGGGGGCAGAGUGACAGGUGGUGCAUGGUUGUCGUCAGCUCGUGUCGUGAGAUGUUGGGUUAAGUCCCGCAACGAGCGCAACCCUUGAUCUUAGUUGCCAGCAUUCAGUUGGGCACUCUAAGGUGACUGCCGGUGACAAACCGGAGGAAGGUGGGGAUGACGUCAAAUCAUCAUGCCCCUUAUGACCUGGGCUACACACGUGCUACAAUGGACAGAACAAAGGGCAGCGAAACCGCGAGGUUAAGCCAAUCCCACAAAUCUGUUCUCAGUUCGGAUCGCAGUCUGCAACUCGACUGCGUGAAGCUGGAAUCGCUAGUAAUCGCGGAUCAGCAUGCCGCGGUGAAUACGUUCCCGGCCUUUGUACACACCGCCCGUCACACCACGAGAGUUUGUAACACCCGAAGUCGGUGAGGUAACCUUUUAGGAGCCAGCCGCCGAAGGUGGGACAGAUGAUUGGGGUGAAGUCGUAACAAGGUAGCCGUAUCGGAAGGUGCGGCUGGAUCACCUCCUUU
rnacentral:rRNA from 1 species